UGUAUUGUGCUUAAAUGUCUUUGGGUAAAUGC
rnacentral:piRNA from 1 species